rnacentral:pre_miRNA from 1 species
GGAGGGAGCGCUGGAUCUUGGGCUGUGUCCCCCAGUGUCCUGGGCUCCGGGGCCUGCACCGCUGAAAUCACGCUCCCAGGGCCGCACAGCCCCCU